UCUGCAAUUACAAUUCAUUUUGAUUUAAUACCAGGUAGAGAACAAUGUCGCAGAUUCAGUUAAUGUUGAAUGCAGAUGUUAGGAAGACUAGCUGUAAAUCUCACUCUGAUAUGGAAUCUGUUUAGAAUUUCACAUGCCUCAGAAAAAGCUGAGUUAGUAUUCUCAAUUAAAAAUUAUAAAAUAAAAAUGUGUUACAGAUUCCUUCCGAGUCCACUGUGAAAGCAGUGUCUGAAAUCAUGUAUUUUUCAUGAGGGAAUAAAAAACGAAAAUACACCCCCACACAGGAUUUCCUCAUUUUAAGCAAAUUUUCUCUCUCCAUUGUCUCAAGGAAUUUGAUUCUCUCCCAUGUAGUUAUGAAAUAGGAAACAAAUGUAGUUACAGACACUAGGGUUAUGACUUUGUUUCUUCAAUACGAAUUCUUUAGUUGUAAAUGUCGACUAGAGUUCAAGAGCUAUAGUAGUUCACAUCAUAUGUUUUAGUAUACAAAUUAAACUGAAUUCAGGGGGAUCAUGCAAAGAAAAGUUGUAGGCAAUAUAGAAGCUUCAGUUCCACUAGAACCACCUUUACUCAUUGAAAUAACAUUGCAUCCAUAUUUCUGAGAGAGAAAAUAAGUAUCAUGCUAAUAUAUCAGAGCUUUGAUUAAAAAAAAAUAAAAUAAAAUAAAAUACCAUUUCCAAGUACUGUUAGUAGAACAAAAUUUAAAUUGUUGAUUUAUUUUUUAUUUUACAAUAGCUAGGUCUUGUCAACGUGACUGUUUUACUAAGACUACAAGCCUAUGGCUUAAUAUCAUAUACGCUAACUCCAAAUUCUCUUGAACAGCAUGAUGUUCCAGACUUGGCUCAUCUGUCAGAUUUAGCAAUACAAAUCACAAGCAUCUUGCCAGUCAAGACAUAGCUCAUGAGUUAUUUUCUUUAAAAGCUCUCAUUAUGUAAAAGAUUAAAUCUCAGUAGUCAUAAUUUCUUUUUGACCCUUAACUUGAAUGUUAUUUAGAAGGGGUUACAGCUCCCUUCUCUCUCUCUUCAUUCAGUUACAUGCUAAAGCUAUGUUAUGCAGUUUCUUGUACGCUAAGUAAAAUUUUUAAGGUAUCUCUCACUAACUAAAAUUUUUAUCAUCUUAGCAUUAAGCUGCUUGAUGAAACACUUCUAGUCAGGAAGCUCUGGGACAAAAUAUCUUGUCUCUGUAAAGUCGAGAAGGAGAAGUCUAUACCUAUUCAAGCACACCUCUAAGGUAAAAUAUCUUGGUCAAAUUCUUUUCUCUGUUGUGACUAAGGCAGUGACGUUAGGGAGGUGUCUUGUAACCUGUUUUUUCAUUUUUGUAGUCAAGACUUUCAUUCUGCAGAAGCACAUAUUUGCUGAGAUUAAGAUAGAAGCUUGCCUUCUAGCCUGGUAAUUGGGGAAGUUGUUUCUCCAUAGAGAUCCAGAAUCAUGUCCCUAAUUCAGCUCUGAGUUGGGACUUGAACUAGAUCUCUCCUGCUGAUCAGUCUCCUUGUUCAUCUCUAUUUUUUUUUUUUUUUUUGGAAACAUUUUUUGUUUUAACUUAAGGGGGAAAAAAAAAAAAGAACAAAUUUCAGAAUGCUCUGUAUUUGAUUCAAAUAAUGUCUCAUUGUUUUGGAAUCUGUCAGAAGUUGAUGAGUGUAGGAUUAAGGCAACUGUAAAAGACAUUGAAGAUGCUAAGAUUACUCAUAAGAUGAUCAUAUCUGAAGUUAAAAAUAUAUGAUAGACUGUAUCCCAAAACUCUAGGAAAAAAAAAACCCAAACCAUUAUGUUUUGACUUCUUUGAUUCUUACCAAAGUCAACAUCAGUAAUAGGAAUCUGCCCUCUCUUUAAAGCAGUAAGCAGAUGCAAUAGUUACAUGCAAGCCAGUAGAGAAACAUUUAACUUCUCUAUGAUUAUUUGAGGAGCUUAAAUAGCACUGUGAUUCUUGCCUUUUAAAGCUCAAAAAUUUUGAAGCAGUACCAACAGAAUACUGUGGGUUUUUUGGCUGCUGGUGAGACGGGUUUUUUUACUUUUUUUUAAACAAAAAUGGUAUCUCAGACCUUAAAACUCUGAUGUGAAGAAUAGCACAUUCAAGAAGAAAUUAAGAAAAAAACAAAACAAGCUUGCAGUACUGUGAAAGAAACUAGUACAAUGACUGUGCCACAUUUCUGAACUUACAGAGUAGUAUUUAAUAUUCUGAAAUGCGUUUUUACUUGAUUGCUUGAUUGCUAUAUUAUAAUGCCAAAAUUGUUCAUUAGAAGCUCAGAAGAAUAAUGAACUGAAGGAUCAGUAACUUUUGCUGUAGUCUGGACUCUAACUGCUACUUGACAGAGAUGGAAGAAGAAAAAUCCUGGAAGGAUAUGUUGAAGGGAGAAAAUAGACUAAUUCAGUGCUCAGUGGGGCUAAAGAAAAGUUAUACCUCUCUCUCCAAAAGGAAAAUUGCAUGAGAACUCGUCUCUUUUAUACAUGCUACCAGUAUUCAGAUGUAAAUAACUUUUUGGUUCGUUUUAAGAGGAUAUUGUUGUUUGCAUGCAUGCUAAUUCAAAGAAAUCAAAAUCCUUUUGACUUCAUACAGUGGAAAAGUUAGACUUAAAUCUCUUUCCAGCAUUUAAGUCUUUAGAAACUUUCUAAACAUGUCAUUGAUUCAGAGUGUUUUGAAGUUAAUCACAGUUCGUGUUUUGAAAGGUUCUAGCAGCUGCACUGGUUAUUAUUUAAAAUAAAUAUUUUGAAGGAGCUGCUGCAUCCUGCAGUUGUAUGAAGUAUGACGGUUACUGUAUGAAAUCCAUCAUUUUUGAUUUUUCUCCUUCUUGAUUAAGGUAUAUUAUUUUAGAGGGAAAAGUAAGUAAUACAGAACUAGAUUAAACAAGGAGCUUUAGAGGCUGAGAUUCUAAACUGGAGGUUCCUCUGCCAAAUCAGAAGCUGAAUCAAGAGAUACUACAGUGUGUACUUGACUGCCGCUGGCUACCAGCUCAUCUGCUGCAGUUGACACCAAUGCCACCCUAGAAGAAAAACGGUGUAUGGAUGGAACACAGACAGCAGGAUACCGCCCUGAAGGAUACCAGAUCAAGGAGAAAACACAGCUUUUAGCAAGUUCUUACAUGUCUUGAGGAUGCAGAUUUCUCUUGUGCUGUCUUGGCUAUUGUUUCAUGCACUUUUUUUUUUCUGGUGAGUAUCAACACUAAUUAUUUUCUGUUUGCUGUAUUACAAAACACAUUAAUGACAGAAGGAAAUAUUUGCUACAUACCACUUUGUUCUACCUGUGAGGUCUUAUGUUGUAAAUGCAAAGACUGUUGUUUUCUGUUACACUUUCAGUUAUUUUUUUUAUAUUUUAUGCUCAUCGUUUGUCUGAUGCAUAUCACUCCAAAUAAAUAUGAACUAUUUCUAGAAGCAGGAGUCAUUUUAAGGCGGAAGAAGUCUGGGUGAGCUUGCCAGGAGAAGCCCACAGGCAAGACAAGAUAGUUGGUGAUACUGAUAUUAACAGCAGGUGGUUGUGGAAAUAUUUAGUUAACCAUGGAGAAACAAUCAAUUGUAAAAAUAAUAGGAAACAUUCAGAUGUUGCAUUAAGCCAGUGUAGUAAAAUAAACAGCCUUAUUUUUGUAGGAAUAAUAAAAAAAAGUGUUUGAAAUAGGAAGAGAAAGGCCAGCAUCAAACAAUCAAACAUUUAAUGUUUAAUGUACAGCUUCAUGUACAGUUAUGCAAGUUAUUUAAUCUUCAUUAUUGCUAGUUUAUGGUUGAAAUCUCAGCCAUCUACAUAUGAAAGCAUUGUUUAUAUUUUCAUUUGCCCAAAGUAUCUGUGGAUGUUCCAUCUUUGGAGAUGCCCAAGGCUGGAUUGGAUGGGGUGGGCAGCUUGAUAUGGCGGGUGGCAACCAGCCCACAGCAGGGGGUGAGAACUAAAUGAGCUUUAUGGUUUGUUCUGACCCUAGAUGUAUGAUUAUGUAGGGAAAGAUGCCUAAUGCGUUUCUCUUAAGUGUGGGAUUCUAAAUAAGAAUUAGUUACAAAAUAAUAACAAUAAUAAAAUAAAACUGGCAUCCCCACAUCUGACCUACAAGGAAAAUUGCUUUCCCCCCCCCAGAAAAUGUCAAUGAAGUCUGGCAAAAAUUCAAGUAGAGAUUUAUCAGGCAUAUUUCUAUAGUUCAGCUAUUACAGGCUCAGAUAUAUAUUAAUUUUAUGAACUCAGGAACUUCACCUUACAAUUCUUUGGUAUAACAUAUGUGCUGAUAUAAUGCAGUACUAAGCAAGCAGCCUUCCCAUUUAUAGUGAGUCUGCAGCCAGCCCUUGAAAUCUUACUUUUGUGUGUGUGCAUAUAUGUGUUAAAUAUACAUGUUAUUUAAGUAAGCGAUCAAGUACAAAUGAAUGGCUUGGCACUCUUAUUUCUCCUUCGUUAAAGCAUAAGUGUAUUUAGACUCAUUUCAAAGCCUAUGGCCUCCUUCUAAAGUAUUUGGAAGCUUCUAAUUCAGGUAAACUUCAAAGAUGUAUUACACUUUCUCAAUUCCAAUCUGGAAUUAAAACAGAGAAACUAAAAUUUUUCUGAUGUUAACGUACCUCUACAAAUCGAAGGAGAUUUUCAGUUUUGAAGUUCUAGUUUAAUUACUGUUUUCUGUUUGUGACAGUGAUAAAUUCAGCUCAAGUUAUAAAUAGCUUAUAUGGAUGCUGAUAUCAUUCCCACAACAAAUCUGCACACUAAAUCUGGUUCAUGACUUCAAAAAACAAACUUUCCUCAACAAAAUUAUUAAGGCACAAAGGAGGCUUCAGCUAAAUGUCCAGCUCUUACUCAAAGUCAUAGGAUUUUUUAAACUCUACUCUAGUUCCUAGUACUAAUAGUUCCUAGUACUCAGAGAAGUGCUGAACUGCCAGUGGGCUGGUGCAGAGCAGCUGCCUGCUCUGUGCAACUUCCCUGGCACUCUGAAGCCAGCCUGUCCUCACACAGCUCCUUUUCCUGGUGAUCACACUGUCAUGGGGACCCAUCUCACAUCUUCGUAAUUAGCACCUAUGGGAAUGUUUUCAGAGCACACUGUCUAUUUUCUACUACUCCAACAAAAAUUCGGCAGAGGUACCUGAAAAGCUGUUCUGUUGAUAAAAGUGCCUUCUAACAACAAGUCAGAAUAAUUAUAGGUCAAACCAGAACUAGGUUGCUGCCUGUCAGCAAUGAAAAUUAUCAUUUGCAUUAGAGGGAAUGAGUAAGAAGGGAAGUUGGUAGUGAGAUAACCAGAGGAGAUAAUCUUGGUGACAACUUUGCCGAAGGAGUGUGUAGAAGAACAGUGGGGUGUGAGAGAAGCGCAUUGAGGAAGGCACCACUGAACUGGAAGAGUAAGGAUGAUGAUUUUUCUGAAUUUAAAACAAUAGAAACACUUCUACUUGGCAGUGGUUGCUAAUGGGAAGUACUAUCAAUGUUCCUGGAUCUGGUUUAUGUAUCGAAUCUUAAUAUUUUUGGGAAAAGCUACAAAUACUACACUGAUGUAAAAUGUAAAAAGCAUCUACAGUUACAUCCAAAUAAAUUAAAUACAAAUAAAAAAAGAUGUUACUGAGGUUCAAAUUUAGCCCUGUGUGGGAGGGCAGCAUGAUGGAAUGAGAUUUAUAGUAGUGUUUUUUAUAAAGGUUACAGGAAGGCCCUGACUUCGGGUUAAAGUAAGGACAAUGGGAUGGAAGAUAUGCAAAAAUAAGGCAAACUAGGCAGCUUGUACUGUUCAGAAGUGCUGAGUUCUGGUAGAAGUCAGGUACAAAAAGCUGUGCAUGAUCUACUGAAAUAGACCUUUUUAGGUAAUUUACUGUUAUUCCAAAAUUUUAACUAUAUCUACCUCAAAGUAAAACCACAUUCUGUGGCUGGCUUACCAUCAAGUACAGUAUGACUUUUUAUCAUAGCAAGAAAUACUCUUCAAAACAUUGUACAGCUUAAGGAAGUUCACAACAUAGAAAUUUACGUUUUGUGUGCUGUAGUUUUAGCUGACCAGAAAACAGAGUGGAUUGCUUUAUGCUGCACAUCAAACCACUUCCAUUUAGCCCUCAAUGACACUGUAAUCUUUCACAAGGAAGAGAGAGGUUUUUCAGGAAAGACUAUUUUAAAUCAGAGGGGCAGCAGUACUCCCCUACCUGAAAAUGUCAUCUUCCAGCUCACGAGUUUGCUGUUGGUCCUCUUGAUUUUGCUUCUGCAUUUCUUCCUGCUCUUUCGGAGUAAGAGAACUGAAGCCAUCCAAGAGCCAUUUUUCUCGUAAGGCCUUUUUCUGAUGGGGGAAAAACAGAGAGAGUUGUACUUUAAAAACUGGGCUAGUCAGAAACAUAUAGUGUUUGUCUUGCUGUCAUAGGUGUGUUUUGAAAUCUUUAGAGAGUUAGCAAUGCAAUGGUAUCUUCUGAGUUUACAGACAACUUUUUGUCGUGAGGUUGCAUGUGAGGGCCAGCUGGUGGUGGAGGAUGCAUAUGAAACCUUGCUGCAGUUAAGUGCAUAUUUUCAGCUGGCUUCAUGCAUGACACAACUGUUCUGAUAGAGCCUGCAGGUAUAAUGGGCUUGUUGGGAACUCUGUGGCAGUCUUUGGUAGUAGUAUUUUGCAGCAAUUGGUAGCAAUGUUUACAAUCACACUAGCCCUGCAGGACAGUAUUGUCUCACAGUGCUGGAUCCUAGGACAUUUGCAGGAAGCAAAGGCUGCUCAAGAAUUCAGUCUUGAGCCUUGAUUCUGGGUUUUCUUGGUAGCCUUUUCCAACUUCAUGGCAAAGGUAUUUUAGGCUCAGAUAAAAUAGUUGGAAAUACUUUUACUUGAUCCAGUAGGUGCUUGUAAUUCAGUAUUGGCAUAAUUCCUAUUGAUCACAAAAUACUGCUCUCCCAAGUCAGAGGGAGCACAGUUAUCUCUGAAUCAGAGCACAGAUUUUAGUGUUAGGAAGCACUCCUGGAAAUGUGAGAUUUUAAUCUUGGUUGGAACUGACAGCUUUGUACUGCUGGCUCAAAAAAAUAAAUCUGAUUCCUUGUGAAAACUGCAUCAAGGCUGGCACUGUAGACCUCAGAAACUGAUAACAUCCAUUGAAAUCAAAUCAACAAAAACGUUAUGUUUAUUUUAGGUUAGACCGAAGAAAACAAACUCCCUGAAUACCGACAUAACACAAUGGUGUUAUUUUUGCACUUUCCUAGAAUAGUUUGCUGCUGCUCACAACUACGUAUCAUGUAAUCCCCAAAAUUUUCUUAGCUGCUUCUGGAAGAGUGAUUCAUUACAUGGCAGAAACAACCUUUGAACAACAUAUAACUUUUAGGUGUUUGUCAGAGUGGGCUGCUCUGCAGAGGCACUGGCACAGUGGUGCUGUCAGGUUUUUAUCUUUUUUGCUGUCAGCAUUUCUUUCUGCUGUAAAGUGUAUUCAGUGUAGUACUAGGCUUGUGCGUGUUUUACCAUGUUGUAGCUCUAAUACAAAAGCACGUUUCAUAUAGGUCUUGUUACCUUCAGGGAAAAAGAUGUUUAUACACUCCGAUCUGACAAGACCAUGGAAAUGUCCAGAAUUCUGGAAAGUGACCUUUCUCUUCUGUGGUUCAUUGUUGCAGCUCAUGUGACUAAUGUCUGCAAAUUCUGUGAAUUACAUCCUACACACGCUGCUGGUUAAGUCCACUGUAAUUAAUUCUUGACACGGUAGAACCAAUGCUGAAAGAUUUCAGCUGUGCCCCUGGAAGGCACGCGUGUUUUGAAUUUGCAUGCUUCACUCUCACACUGGUACAACAGUUUAUCUUAUGGUUUGCUGGGAGAAGCAAAUGCCUCCCUGGAGGCUGGAUGUGGCUCUGGGCAGCCUGGUCUGGUGGUUGGCGACCCUGCACAUAACAGGGAGGUUGAAACUGGAUGAUCAUUAUGGUCCUUUUCAACCCAGGCCAUCCUAUGAUCUGUAUAAGAGUGGGAGUAAGGUCACUGCUCUUGUAUUCUGUAAAGAACAGUAGUGAGGAAUAGUGGGAUGUCUACAACAGAUGAGUUACUCCUUCUUAAAAGAAAGGAGAAAGAGUCAUUUGGAAUUAAUAAGUUAAACUUGAAAUAUAAAUUGCAGCUCUCUACAUAUGUGGAGGAACACAGUCACACAUUUGUUAUUAGUUAUCAGAUUUGGAAGAUAUAUCUUUCUCACUUAGGUAAUGCAUUGUGAUAUUACAUCUGUCCUCAUGGUCACUACCUUGCAAUAAAACCUUAAGCAUGGAGGA